UGGAGCAAGAGCGCGACUGACGGUACUCAUCUACGGGAUGAGAGCUGAGGAAGCUCCCAACUACGUGUCGACGCCGGUCCUGUGUGAACAGGGAGGUGAGAACCUCGCUCUGGGAACAGAAACGACACCCCCGAGCUAGAGAUGACAAGGAAACAGCGUUUGAAGCUGUUGAGGACUAGCUCGGACCGGAUGAAACGGCCCAUCACCGGGUAGCAACUCCAAGAAUACACCUGCGAUGUGUCGGCCUGAGGUGUAGGGUAGGAGGCUUAGUCUGAUGUCGCAAAGCUCCUUUCUGGUAACAGAUUGGAGCAGAACAGAAUUGGGGCUACUCCUUGCACCA
rnacentral:RNase_P_RNA from 1 species